CCGUCUGCCACAGUUCGACUUACCGAUGGGCAAUGGGGCAAGCCGGUGAGACUCCGGCGCUGACCCGCAACCGUGACCCCGGCCGCCGACGACCUCGGCACCGGGACCAGCCGGAAAACCCGUGUCCAUCCGGCUCCCCAU
rnacentral:ncRNA from 2 species